rnacentral:tRNA from 1 species
GUCUUAGUGGCGUAGUGGUUAGCAUAUGAGCCCCAAUUAGGCGCGAGACGCGGGAUCGAAUCCCGUCUGAGACG